rnacentral:rRNA from 1 species
AGACUUUGAUCCUGGCUCAGAUUGAACGCUGGCGGCAGGCCUAACACAUGCAAGUCGAGCGGUAGCACAGAGAAGCUUGCUUCUUGGGUGACGAGCGGCGGACGGGUGAGUAACGCGUGGGAAUCUACCUGGUAGUGGGGGACAACAGUCGGAAACGACUGCUAAUACCGCAUACGCCCUUCGGGGGAAAGUGGGGGAUCUUCGGACCUCACGCUAUCAGAUGAGCCCGCGUCGGAUUAGCUUGUUGGUGAGGUAAAGGCUCACCAAGGCGAUGAUCCGUAGCUGGUCUGAGAGGAUGACCAGCCACACUGGGACUGAGACACGGCCCAGACUCCUACGGGGGGCAGCAGUGGGGAAUAUUGGACAAUGGGGGCAACCCUGAUCCAGCCAUGCCCCGUGUGUGAAAAAAGGCCUUCGGGUUGUAAAGCACUUUCAGCUGUGAGGAAAGGUGAGUGGUAAAACCCCCCUUGCUGUGACGUAACAGCAAAGAAGACCGGGUUAA